CUCCACCAAGUGAAUAGACUUGCAAGACAACUUGCUAAGGAAUAACUCCACACAAGUCGACAAGACUACGCCAUUCUCCUAUCCUAAGUGCACUCGAGUUCGGGUAUGGAACUCAUCUCACAAAGAUCACCAAGCAUACAAGGAAUUAAUAUUCAAACAAUUCAAUCAUUACAUACAAUACAGUAAUCCCAAAUUGCCCAAAAAUAUGUCACAAAAAA
rnacentral:lncRNA from 1 species